rnacentral:rRNA from 1 species
GACGAACGCUGGCGGCGUGCUUAACACAUGCAAGUCGAGCGGUAAGGCCCUUUCGGGGGUACACGAGCGGCGAACGGGUGAGUAACACGUGGGUGACCUGCCCUCAGCUCUGGGAUAAGCCCGGGAAACUGGGUCUAAUACUGGAUAUGACUCCACGGUGCAUGCCGUGGGGUGGAAAGCCUUGUGCGGCUGAGGAUGGGCCCCGCGGCCUAUCAGCUUGUUGGUGGGUGAUGGCCUACCAAGGCGACGACGGGUAGCCGGCCUGAGAGGGCGACCGGCCACACUGGGACUGAGACACGGCCCAGACUCCUACGGGAGGCAGCAGUGGGUAAUCUUAGCGCAAUGGGCGAAAGCCUGACGCAGCGACGCCGCGUGAGGGAU